rnacentral:ncRNA from 2 species
ACGCGUUCUCAGGGCGGGGCGAAACUCCCCACCGGCGGUAUGGGAUUUUCCCGAGCCCGCGAGCGCCUUUCGGUUCUCCGAAAGGGUCAGCAGAUCCGGUGAGAGGCCGGAGCCGACGGUAUAGUCCGGAUGGAAGAGAGCACGC